rnacentral:rRNA from 1 species
AUUGAACGCUGGCGGCAGGCCUAACACAUGCAAGUCGAGCGGAUGAAGGGAGCUUGCUCCUGGAUUCAGCGGCGGACGGGUGAGUAAUGCCUAGGAAUCUGCCUGGUAGUGGGGGAUAACGUCCGGAAACGGGCGCUAAUACCGCAUACGUCCUGAGGGAGAAAGUGGGGGAUCUUCGGACCUCACGCUAUCAGAUGAGCCUAGGUCGGAUUAGCUAGUUGGUGGGGUAAAGGCCUACCAAGGCGACGAUCCGUAACUGGUCUGAGAGGAUGAUCAGUCACACUGGAACUGAGACACGGUCCAGACUCCUACGGGAGGCAGCAGUUGGGAAUAUUGGACAAUGGGCCAAAGCCUUAUCCAGCCAUGGCGGGUGUGUUAAGAAGGUCUUCGGAUUUUAAAGCACUUUAAGUUGGGAGGAAGGGCAGUAAGUUAAUACCUUGCUGUUUUGACGUUACCAACAGAAUAAGCACCGGCUAACUUCGUG